rnacentral:rRNA from 1 species
GGAUUGCCCUAGUAACGGCGAGUGAAGCGGCAACAGCUCAAAUUUGAAAUCUGGCCCCCUCGGGGUCCGAGUUGUAAUUUGCAGAGGAUGCUUCGGCGUCGGCACCGGCCCAAGUCCCUUGGAACAGGGCGUCCCAGAGGGUGAGAACCCCGUGUCCGGCCGGACCGCCGUCGCCAUGUGUAGCUCCCUCGACGAGUCGAGUUGUUUGGGAAUGCAGCUCUAAGCGGGUGGUAAAUUCCAUCUAAAGCUAAAUACCAGCCGGAGACCGAUAGCGCACAAGUAGAGUGAUCGAAAGAUGAAAAGCACUUUGAAAAGAGAGUUAAAAAGCACGUGAAAUUGUUGAAAGGGAAGCGCUCGCGGCCAGACUCGCGGCGGGGGUUCAGCCGGCCGUCAGGCCGGUCCACUCCCCCGUCGCGGGCCAGCAUCAGUUUGGGCGGCCGGAGAACGGCGCCGGGAACGUAGCCCCUCGGGGUGUUAUAGCCCGGCGCACAAUGCGGCCCGCCCGGACUGAGGAUCGCGCUUCGGCUCGGAUGCUGGCGUAAUGGCCGUGAGCGGCCCGUCUUGAAACACGGACCAAGGAGUCUACCAUCUAUGCGAGUGUUUGGGUGUCAAACCCGUGCGCGCAAUGAAAGUGAACGGAGGCGGGAGCCCGUGAGGGUGCACCGUCGACCGAUCCUGAUGUUCUCGGAAGGAUUUGAGUAAGAGCAUAGCUGGUGGGACCCGAAAGAUGUUGAACUAUGCGUGAAUAGGGCGAAGCCAGAAGAAAUUCUGGUGGAGGCUCGCAGGGGUUCUGACGUGCAAAUCGAUCCUCAAAUUUGCGUAU